rnacentral:rRNA from 2 species
GCGUAAGCGCGCGCAGGCGGUUUCUUAAGUCUGAUGUGAAAGCCCACGGCUCAACCGUGGAGGGUCAUUGGAAACUGGGGAACUUGAGUGCAGAAGAGAAAAGCGGAAUUCCACGUGUAGCGGUGAAAUGCGUAGAGAUGUGGAGGAACACCAGUGGCGAAGGCGGCUUUUUGGUCUGUAACUGACGCUGAGGCGCGAAAGCGUGGGGAGCAAACAGGAUUAGAUACCCUGGUAGUCCACGCCGUAAACGAUGAGUGCUAAGUGUUAGAGGGUUUCCGCCCUUUAGUGCUGCACCUAACGCAUUAAGCACUCCGCCUGGGGAGUACGGACGCAAGACUGA